UACGUAGGUGGCAAGCGUUAUCCGGAAUUAUUGGGCGUAAAGCGCGCGCAGGCGGUUUCUUAAGUCUGAUGUGAAAGCCCUCGGCUCAACCGUGGAGGGUCAUUGGAAACUGGAGGACUUGAGUGCAGAAGAGGAAAGUGGAAUUCCAAGUGUAGCGGUGAAAUGCGUAGAGAUUUGGAGGAACACCAGUGGCGAAGGCGACUUUCUGGUCUGUAACUGACGCUGAGGCGCGAAAGCGUGGGGAGCAAACAGG
rnacentral:rRNA from 1 species